rnacentral:rRNA from 1 species
CGUUCCUACGGGACGCAGCAGGGGGGAAUAUUGCACAAUGGGGGAAACCCUGAUGCAGCGACGCCGCGUGAGUGAAGAAGUAUUUCGGUAUGUAAAGCUCUCUCAGCAGGGAAGAAAAAAGACGGUACCUGACUAAGAAGCCCCGGCUAACUACGUGCCAGCAGCCGCGGUAAUACGUAGGGGGCAAGCGUUAUCCGGAUUUACUGUGUGUAAAGGGAGCGUAGACGGCGCGGCAAGUCUGAAGUGAAAGGCAGGGGCUUA